GUGGGGAAUAUUGGACAAUGGGGGGAACCCUGAUCCAGCCAUGCCGCGUGUGUGAAGAAGGCCUUUUGGUUGUAAAGCACUUUAAGCGAGGAGGAGGCUACCGAGAUUAAUACUCUUGGAUAGUGGACGUUACUCGCAGAAUAAGCACCGGCUAACUCUGUGCCAGCAGCCGCGGUAAUACAGAGGGUGCAAGCGUUAAUCGGAUUUACUGGGCGUAAAGCGCGCGUAGGUGGCCAAUUAAGUCAAAUGUGAAAUCCCCGAGCUUAACUUGGGAAUUGCAUUCGAUACUGGUUGGCUAGAGUAUGUGAGAGGAUGGUAGAAUUCCAGGUGUAGCGGUAAAAUGCGUAGAGAUCUGGAGGAAUACCGAUGGCGAAGGCAGCCAUCUGGCCUAAUACUGACACUGAGGUGCGAAAGCAUGGGGAGCAAACAGGAUUAGAUACCCUUGUAGUCC
rnacentral:rRNA from 1 species